UACAGAGGUCCCGAGCGUUGUUCGGAUUCACUGGGCGUAAAGGGUGCGCAGGUGGGUUUGCAAGUUCGAUGUGAAAGCCCCGGGCUUAACCCGGGAAUGGCAUUGGAUACUGCAGAUCUGGAGGAUCGGAGGGGGGACUGGAAUUCUUGGUGUAGCAGUGAAAUGCGUAGAUAUCAAGAGGAACACCAGUGGCGAAGGCGAGUCCCUGGACGGUACUGACGCUGAGGCGCGAAAGCGUGGGUAGCAAACGGG
rnacentral:rRNA from 1 species